CAAAUGCAGAGGGCAUCCUGUUGCCUGGCAUGACCCUGACAGCUCCUACCCCCAAGAGUUUGAGAUCUUGACGUGUGGCUCCAUUCUUCUUCAGCGUUUGGAAACUACUCAGCAUACAUCCAGGCUACUGUAAACAUGUAAUAAGAAAACUUCUUUACCAUUCCUCUUCUUGGGCUGACCUUUCCAUCAGGCUCCACUCUUCCUGUGUUUUUCUGCUCACAGCCUCAGGAC